rnacentral:rRNA from 1 species
UGGGUGGAUCAGUGGCGAACGGGUGAGUAACACGUGAGCAACCUGCCCCCUACUUCGGGAUAAGCCUUGGAAACGAGGUCUAAUACCGGAUAUGAGCACCUGCCGCAUGGUGGGUGUUGGAAAGUUUUUCGGUGGGGGAUGGGCUCGCGGCCUAUCAGCUUGUUGGUGGGGUAAUGGCCUACCAAGGCGUCGACGGGUAGCCGGCCUGAGAGGGCGACCGGCCACACUGGGACUGAGACACGGCCCAGACUCCUACGGGAGGCAGCAGUGGGGAAUAUUGCACAAUGGGCGAAAGCCUGAUGCAGCGACGCCACGUGAGGGAUGACGGCCUUCGGGUUGUAAACCUCUUUCAGCAGGGAAGAAGCGAAAGUGACGGUACCUGCAGAAGAAGCGCCGGCUAACUACGUGCCAGCAGCCGCGGUAAUACGUAGGGCGCAAGCGUUGUCCGGAAUUAUUGGGCGUAAAGAGCUCGUAGGCGGUCUGUCGCGUCUGGUGUGAAAUCCCAUGGCUCAACUGUGGGCUUGCAUCGGGUACGGGCAGACUAGAGUGCUGUAGGGGAGACUGGAAUUCCUGGUGUAGCGGUGGAAUGCGCAGAUAUCAGGAGGAACACCGAUGGCGAAGGCAGGUCUCUGGGCAGUUACUGACGCUGAGGAGCGAAAGCAUGGGGAGCGAACAGGAUUAGAUACCCUGGUAGUCCAUGCCGUAAACGUUGGGCACUAGGUGUGGGGCGGGUUCCACUCGUUCUGUGCCG